CACUUCUCCGCUUUGGUUGAACGUGGACACAAGCCAUUGUAUUCUUCUAAUCCGUUCACCCUCUCCAAUUUCUCCCUCUAACCAACUGUACAACGUUCGAUUAAGACGUUCAAACGUAUCUGUGUUCCAAAGUCGAACCUGUAUCGGAGCCGCAACGGCAGAAAAUAUUACAUCAGCAUUUCGUUUUUGAAUAUAUCUAGACAUUGUUAAAACAAAGAAAAUUAAAAAUGGUGGUUGCACUAGACUAGAAGAUGAGUUUGAGUGAAAAUAUAAACUGAGAGAUGAAUUUGACUGAAAAUUUGUAUACAAGCUGAUCGUAUUUAUAGAGGCGAUAAAUCAGACACACAAGACACACAAAAGGGCACCUAAAAAAACACACAAAAGGCACCUAAAAAAAACCCUAGGGCACACACACACAGGCGCCAACCCUAGGGGCGCCUCCCUUAGUGGGAGGCUAAGGCGCCAACCCUAGGGGCGCCUCCCUUAAGGGGCACACAAGGGCGCCAACCCUAGGGGCACCUCCCUUAAGGGGCACACAAGGGCGCCAACCCUAGGGGCGCCUCCCUUACGGGGGCUUUAACUAGGGCGCCUACCCGUUUGGCGCCUCCCUUUAAGGCUCCAAAAUUUUUUAAGGGAUGCGCCAACUCCUCCGGCGCAUCCCUUAAAAAACAUGGUUAUUUUGGGAAAUUUUUUGAAAAACCGGUUAUUAUCGUAUUUUAUUUCAAAAACAUGGUUAUUUUAAAAAAAAAUCCAAAGAAACUGAUAUAUUAAAUAAAAGAAACAUGCAUAAGGGAUGCCAUGAAGAAAGUACAGAAACACAAGUUGUAAAUCAAAAGCAGAAGUCCCACCAACACCCAAAAACAAAUAAGGUAUGAAAAUCAUUAUUAAGAUUUGAAAUACUAAAUAAAAACAGAUUUAGAGUUUUUUUUACCUGAAUCAUCGAAGAAAAAUAUAUGGGUGUUGAAGAUAGAUUUGCAAUCAGAAUGUUACAUGCACAUAUGAGAAUCCGUUGGAGAGAUGAAGGAUACGAAGAAUUUAGAAAUUGGUAUGAAAUACAUUUGAAACUGAUGAGAGAGAAAUAGAGGAAUAAGUUGAUUUAUUGUUAUAUUAGAUAUGGACGUAGG
rnacentral:lncRNA from 1 species